UACGAAGGGGGCUAGCGUUGUUCGGAAUUACUGGGCGUAAAGCGCACGUAGGCGGAUAUUUAAGUCAGGGGUGAAAUCCCGGGGCUCAACCUCGGAAUUGCCUUUGAUACUGGGUAUCUUGAGUGUGGAAGAGGUCGGUGGAAUUGCGAGUGUAGAGGUGAAAUUCGUAGAUAUUCGCAGGAACACCCGUGGCGAAGGCGGCCGACUGGUCCAUUACUGACGCUGAGGUGCGAAAGCGUGGGGAGCAAAC
rnacentral:rRNA from 1 species